GGAAUUCCAACCGUCAGGACAAGAUGUUCCCCUUCCGUAUAACUCGAUACCUGCUGCAGGUUAUGAACAGAUAUGUCAUACUAUCGUAGAGGAAGCAUGGAAAGUAUCUUCUGGGUUUUCCUGCACUUUGGUGGGGACAGAGUGUUAACCUCCAAGUAUCCAAGUAAAGCCAGGAUCUAAGCAUCUAACC